CACACACCGAAAGUUGUCAAUUGGAGGACGUUGACGAGGGAAAUUCCAAUCCCUGGACAGAGUUCCAUUUAAAUUUGAAAUAGGCAACAUAGUCAUCAUGAAAUGCUGUAUUUUUAUUCCAAAAGACCCAACCAUCUACGCUUUCAAAAACUCAUUAUGAUAGCUCCGCAAGCACAUAGAGGUGUACUCGCCAGCAUCUCCCUUCUCUACAGCACCCAACACCACUCGACGAGUCCUGUCAUGUGUUUCCAUGUGGACUGUCUCGCUGGAUGUCAGAGGAGUACUGUCCCUCAUCACUUUUCUUGGCGUUCUUGAUGAUCAGUGACCUCUGUGUCCCUUUGGAGACAAUGGUGGUUCUUUGGUCCGCAUAGACCACUGUCUGAUCCUUCUUCCACACAACCACCCCACUGGCAGAGGACACCUCACAGUUCAACACAAGAUCUCCGCUUUGGGCAGAUGCAACCCCCAUGAGACCCUUGGGCUUGUUCAGGAACCUAACUUCAUCUGGGAGACAAAGAGUAACGAACAUUGUCCACUUUGUAUUUACACAGUUGUGGUACAAAUGUAUUGAUACCAUAAGGUUGUAAUUAAAAUGUAACAUUUACAUUUAAAAUGUAAAUUCAGUUAAAUUUGCCAACCAAAUAAAAAUU
ensembl:lncRNA